rnacentral:lncRNA from 1 species
UAAAGUGCGUAAAAUAAAUAAAAUAAAAGCGAGUGCGAGAAAUAAAUAAAGUAAAGCGAGUGCGGAAAAUAAAUAAAAUAAAGCGAGUGCGGAAAAUAAAUAAAAUAAAGCGAGUGCGGAAAAUAAAUAAAGUAAAAGCGAUGCGGAAAAUAAAUAAAGUAAAAGCGAUGCGGGAAAUAAAUAAAGUAAAAGUGAUGCGGAAAAUAAAUAAAGUAAAAGCGAUGUGGAAAAUACAUAAAUAAAGCGAUAAAUAAGAACCUGCUCCAAACGGAGGCUUCGAUUCUGG